UUGGAGGGCAAGUCUGGUGCCAGCAGCCGCGGUAAUUCCAGCUCCAAUAGCGUAUAUUAAAGUUGUUGCAGUUAAAAAGCUCGUAGUUGAAUUUCGGGAUCAAAUUGUUGGUCGUGCUUCAGUACGCACUGGCAUUAUUGGUUCUUACCUUCUGAAGAACCGCGAUGUCAUUAAUUUGGUGUCGUGGGGAAUCAGGACUGUUACUUUGAAAAAAUUAGAGUGUUUAAAGCAGGCGCACGCUUGAAUACAUUAGCAUGGAAUAAUGAAAUAGGACGUUUGAUUCUAUUUUGUUGGUUUCUAGGAUCGACGUAAUGAUUAAUAGGGAUAGUUGGGGGCAUUAGUAUUCAAUUGUCAGAGGUGAAAUUCUUGGAUUUAUUGAAGACUAACUACUGCGAAAGCAUUUGCCAAGGAUGUUUUCAUUAAUCAAGAACGAAAGUUAGGGGAUCGAAGACGAUCAGAUACCGUCGUAGUCUUAACCAUAAACUAUGCCGACUAGGGAUCGGAUGAUGUUAAUUUUUUAAUGACUCAUUCGGCACCUUACGGGAAACCAAAG
rnacentral:rRNA from 1 species